UUGCAUCGGCAGACAGUUGGCUUGUUGGGAAAUCGGCACACAGAGUUUGGUAACCAAACGGCCAGAGCGGAUUCCAGGAAUCCUGGGAUCUUGGUCCAC
rnacentral:lncRNA from 1 species